GGGGGCGACAGGCUUCGACGUGGUCGACUCGUGCGAACGGUUGCAGGUCGAGGUUGCCGGAGGCCUCGUAAAACACCGGCAAAAACCAUAAUUGCGGACCACGAGUUCGCCCUCGCCGCUUAGUUAGUAGCUAAGCGAUGAGCGUCGGUCCACCCUCGGCCCGUGGGGUGGGGUGCCGGCGUCAACAACGGGCUCGCCCGGAAGGUUCGCCUCCGCCGACCGGGGACUCUUUCGGAGGUUGUGCUCCACGGUCAGUGCCCGCCGGCGCGGACCCCGCGGAGCGAGAUUCAAGCGCCGGCUAUACCUGUAGACGCUGUUCGUUCGUCACCGCGGAUAGGGGUUCAACUCCCCUCGCCUCCAUCA
rnacentral:tmRNA from 1 species